rnacentral:rRNA from 1 species
AAUUCCAGCUCCAAUAGUGUAUAUUAGAGUUGUUGCAGUUAAAAAGCUCGUAGUUGGAUUUCUGUCGUGGUCGACCGGCACCGCCUGUAUAGGUGUGCGCCUGGUUUGCCCUCGGCUUUCUUCCGGUGAGUCUUUCCGCGCUUAAUUGCGUGUGUUGGAUUUCCGGAACUUUUACUUUGAGAAAAAUAGAGUGUUUCAAGCAGGCUUGUCGCCCUGAAUACUGCAGCAUGGAAUAAUAAGAUAGGACCUCGGUUCUAUUUUGUUGGUUUCUAGGACCAAGGUAAUGAUUAAUAGGGACAGUUGGGGGCAUUCGUAUUUAACUGUCAGAGGUGAAAUUCUUAGAUUUGUUAAAGACGAACUACUGCGAAAGCAUUUGCCAAGGAUGUUUUCAUUAAUCAAGAACGACAGUAGGGGGUUUGAAGACGAUUAGAUACCGUCGUAAUCUCUACCAUAAACUAUGCCGACUAGAGAUAGGGAAACGCCUACCUUGGCUUCUCCUG